rnacentral:tRNA from 1 species
UGUACGCGUAGCUCAGCUGGAUAGAGCGUCUGACUACGGAUCAGAAGGCCGGGAGUUCGAAUCUUCUCGCGUACAU